rnacentral:rRNA from 1 species
CAGUAGCCACGGGAAUACGAAGGGGGCUAGCGUUGCUCGGAAUUACUGGGCGUAAAGGGCGCGUAGGCGGACUGAUAAGUCAGGGGUGAAAUCCCAAGGCUCAACCUUGGAACUGCCUUUGAUACUGUUUGUCUUGAGUUCGAGAGAGGUAAGUGGAACUGCGAGUGUAGAGGUGAAAUUCGUAGAUAUUCGCAAGAACACCAGUGGCGAAGGCGGCUUACUGGCUCGAAACUGACGCUGAGGCGCGAAAGCGUGGGGAGCAAACAGGAUUAGAUACCCCAGUAGUCCCUGUCUCUUAUAC